rnacentral:rRNA from 1 species
CGUGUCGUGAGAUGUUGGGUUAAGUCCCGCAACGAGCGCAACCCUUAUUACUAGUUGCCAGCAUUCAGUUGGGCACUCUAGUGAGACUGCCGGUGACAAACCGGAGGAAGGUGGGGAUGACGUCAAAUCAUCAUGCCCCUUAUGACUUGGGCUACACACGUGCUACAAUGGAUGGUACAGCGAGCAGCGAACUCGCGAGGGUAAGCGAAUCUCUUAAAGCCAUUCUCAGUUCGGAUUGUAGGCUGCAACUCGCCUACAUGAAGCCGGAAUCGCUAGUAAUCGCGGAUCAGCACGCCGCGGUGAAUACGUUCCCGGGUCUUGUACACACCGCCCGUCACACCACGAGAGUUCGUAACACCCAAAGUCGGUGAGGUAACCUUUUGGAGCCAGCCGCCUAAGGUGGGAUAGAUGAUUGGGGUGAAGUCGUAACAAGGUAGCCAAUCGAAUUCCCGCGGCC